UUUGAUUCUGGCUCAGAACGAACGCUGGCGGCGUGGAUAAGACAUGCAAGUCGAACGAGAUUUUUUCCUGUAGCAAUACAGGGAAAAGUCUAGUGGCGAACGGGUGCGUAACACGUGGGCAAUCUGCCUUAAAGUGGGGGAUAGCUCGGCGAAAGCCGAAUUAAUACCGCAUGUGAUCAGGGGAGACAUCUUCCCGAAAUCAAAAGUGGCGCAAGCUACUGCUUUUUGAGGAGCCCGCGGCCUAUCAGCUAGUUGGUGAGGUAAUGGCUCACCAAGGCUCUGACGGGUAGCUGGUCUGAGAGGACGACCAGUCACACUGGAACUGAGACACGGUCCAGACACCUACGGGUGGCAGCAGUCGAGAAUUUUUCUCAAUGGGGGAAACCCUGAAGGAGCGACGCCGCGUGGAGGAUGAAGGUCUUCGGGUUGUAAACUCCUGUCAUUUGGGAACAAGUGCCGGUACCUAACUGCUACCGGCUUGAUAGUACCAGAAGAGGAAGGGACGGCUAACUCUGUGCCAGCAGCCGCGGUAAUACAGAGGUCUCAAGCGUUGUUCGGAUUCAUUGGGCGUAAAGGGUGUGUAGGUGGCGCGCUAAGUCGGGUGUGAAAUUUCGGAGCUUAACUCCGAAACUGCAUUCGAUACUGGCGUGCUUGAGGACUGGAGAGGAGACUGGAAUUCAUGGUGUAGCAGUGAAAUGCGUAGAGAUCAUGAGGAAGACCAGUGGCGAAGGCGGGUCUCUGGACAGUUCCUGACACUGAGACACGAAAGGCCAGGGGAGCAAACGGGAUUAGAUACCCCGGUAGUCCUGGCAGUAAACGGUGCACGUUUGGUGUGGGAGGAUUCGACCCCUUCUGCGCCGGAGCWACGCGUUAACGUGCCGCCUGGGGAGUACGGUCGCAAGAUUAAACUCMAAGAAAUUGGACGGGGG
rnacentral:rRNA from 1 species